rnacentral:rRNA from 1 species
CCCUUAGAUGUUCUGGGCCGCACGCGUGCUACACUGAGUGGAUCAGCGGGUCAGGUUGCGCGAAAGCGUUUCCUAAUCUUUAAAUCCGCUCGUGAUGGGGAUUGACGGUUGCAAUUUUCUGUCAUGAACGAGGAAUACCUUGUAAGCGCGGGUCAUCAUCCCGCGCUGAAUACGUCCCUGCCCUUUGUACACACCGCCCGUCGCUCCUGCCAACUGAGAUGGGUCCUGAAUUGUUAGGAACGCCCGUCAAGGGGCCUACCCGGUCCCUAGUGCGGUGACGAGAAUAACUGUAAAUGGCAUAUCUUGUAGGGAGUAAAAGUCGUAACA